AUAAACCUAAGCCUCACUUCCCACAGCUGAGUGAGAACGUCUGGUGCCACUCUGCCUUUAGGGUCCAGUGAGACCUGGCCUUCCACAACUCAGAGGUUUAAGUGUAUUUAUCGGGAACAUGGGAUACAUUUGAGACUAAGUGGUAGGCUUGGAAAACAUUGCUUGAAAUGGGAUGUUCCUGUCCAUAGAUGUCCUGGCUUAUGAGGCCCAUUUCUAUGAUCCAAGUUAGCAGAUGUUUCAGUGACAUCACG
rnacentral:lncRNA from 1 species